rnacentral:rRNA from 1 species
UACGAAGGGGGCUAGCGUUGUUCGGAAUCACUGGGCGUAAAGGCGCGUAGGCGGCCAGAUAAGUCCGGUGUAAAAGUCACAGGCUCAACCUGUGAAUGCCGCUGGAAACUGUCUGGCUUGAGUCCGGGAGGGCGAGUGGAAUUCCUGGUGUAGCGGUGAAAUGCGCAGAUAGUCAGGGAGGAACACCAAUGGCGAAGGCAGCUCGCUGGAACGGUACUGACG